ACUAAACAUGUUUGUGUGACAUGACAGCUACUUCUGUUCAAGAAGAAGACGACAGGAGAGAUGAUAACCUAAACCUGAUUAUUCAAGAGCUUAACAUAACUUACUCUCAGUUCCACUGUUUGCCACACUUGGUUUGUGCAAUUAAAUGAUGGGCUCUUCAGUGCGGGCCGUUCUACUGCCAGUGUUCGUCUGUGGAGAUUGGAUGGCUGUGUGCUCGUGUCUGCACCUGUCAGCACCUGUCAGCAACGGGGUGUCCACAUACUUUGCCUUCCAUAAAAUGAAGAAUGCCUGUUCUUUAUCAAUCCCAUCUGAUCUUUGGAGAGGACAGAUUCUAGCUAUACACUUUAGUGAUUAGCUUUAUGUCUAGGUUCAGUAGAGAUGUGAGGCCAUAUGAGCCAUUUUAGUGUUAAAGGAGAAUCACUUUUAAAAUAUGAGGUAGUAGUGGGGUUAGCUUAUCUGGAAACCAUCUGGGGCUAAGGCCUUUCCCACUACACAAGACACAUAAUGCUUGGGUGAUUGCAUUACUUGACAAUGUUUCCUCAAACUCUGCAUCCAGCUCAGAAUCACUGUAGAUAUGCUGGUGUGUAAAUGUAUCCACAAUGCACAGCAUGUUUCAUACCAUCAUUCUGGUGAAAUGUGGAUCUCAGCAAAGCUGGUUGUGCAGUAAGGGAAAUGUGAAUUGCACAGAGGUAAAAAUAUGGAACAUUGUUCCCGUCACUGAUUCCACCACAAACCCAGCACAUGUCCAUAUGUUGGUUUGAUGGUUUCAUAACCUCUGAAUUUACAAAGACGGAACUGCCUUCCACAGCAAAAGUAUUAACAUCUGUGAAUGUGUGUGUGCUUAAAAAUACAAUGUUGUUCCUUUUCAUUUCAGUGUGCCAUGGGAACUCUAAUGCUGCAGUUCUACUCUUUGUCCACACUGCCUGUCUACUGUUUUAUGUUUCCUAUCUCAUCUAAUACAUUUUUUUAAACUUCCACAGGUUUAUGUUUGUUGUUACUAAAGAACCUCAACUGUUCUUAUUCUUACAUGCCAUGUAUUAAUGACUUAUUUCUAAAGGAUUGAUAGUGUUUUUUGUUGAUGUAGAUGUUUUUAUUUGGGUGUAUGCAAAUAGAAUAGCAUGCUUUUCUAUGCAUACUGUGCAUGUGUACUCAAAGGGUAAUGGUGAUGACCAGCACAUCCCUGGCCUCCAACAGGAUGACUUGUAUUCAUGCCAGGUGAACAGUGUCUAGGCACAGGUUCUCCAACAGGACCCAAGUCAUUCUGAAAGUACAUGCAAUUUUUGCAUGUGUCCCAUUGCAAACUGUCAUAAACAUAAAGCUAUCGGCUACUAGUGCAAGCCUCUCUACUCUGGCUUCCUGUUAAGGCUAGGGCUGAUUUCAAGGUUUUACUGCUAAGCAUUACAUGAGCGUGCUCCUACCUAUCUUUACGAUUUGGUCCUGCCGUACAUACGUACACGUACGCUACGGUCACAAGACACAGGAAUCACAUUACCGUCCCUAGAAUUUCUAAGCAAACAGCCAGAGGCAGGGCUUUCUCCUAUAGAGCCUCAUUUUUAUGGAAUGGGCUGCCAAUCCAUGUGAGAGACGCAGACUCGGUCUCAACCUUUAAGUCUUUAUUGAAGACUCAUCUCUUCAGUAGGUCCUGUGAUUGAGUGUAGUCUGGCCCAGGAGUGUGAAGGUGAACGAAAAGGCACUUGAGCAACAAACCGCCCUUGCUGUCUCUGCCUUGCCGGUUCCCCUCUCUCCACUGCGAUUCUCUGCCUCUAACCUUAUUACAGGGGCUGAGUCACUGGCUUACUGGUGCUCUUCCAUGCCAUCCCUAAGAGGGGUGUGUCACUUGAGUGGGUUGAGUCAACCCCUCUUGGGUUAUGCUGUGGGGGAGAUCUUCGUGGGCUAUACUCGACCUUGUCUCAGGAUGGUAAGUUGGUGGUUGAAGAUAUCCUUCUAGUGGUGUGGGGGCUGUGCUUUGGUAAAGUGGGUGGGAUUAUAACCUGCCUGUUUGGCACUGUCCGGGGGUAUCGUUUGACGGGGCCGCAGUAUCUCCCGACCCUUCCUGUCUCAGCCUCCAGUAUUUAUGCUGUAAUAGUUUAUGGUGUCGGGGGGGGGGGUUAGGGUCAGUCUGUUAUAUCUGGAGUAUUUAUCCUGUCUUAUCCGGUGUCCUGUGUGAAUUUAAGUAUGCUCUCUCUAACUCUCGCUCUCUUUUUUCUCUUUCUCUUUUUCUCUAUUUCUUUCUUUCUCUCUCUCUCUCGGAGGACCUGAGCCCUAGAACCAUGCCUCGGGACUACCUGGCCUGAUGACUCCUUGCUGCCCCCAGUCCACCUGGCUGUGCUGCUGCUCCAGUUUAACUGUUCUGCCUGCGUCUAUGGAACCCUGACCUGUUCACCGGAUGUUCUACCUUGGCCCAAACCUGCUGUUUUCAACUCUCUAGAGACAGCAGGAGCUGUAGAGAUACUCUGAAUGUUCGGCUAUGAGAAACGCCAACUGACAUUUACUCCUGAGGUGCUGACCUGUUGCACCCUCGACAACCACUGUGAUUAUCAUUAUUUGACCCUGCUGGUCAUCUAUGAACAUCUGAACAUCUUGUUCCAUGUUCUGUUAUAAUCUCCACUCGGCACAGCCAGAAGAGGACUGGCCACCACCAUAACCUGGUUCCUCUCUAGGUUUCUUCCUAGGUUCUGGCCUUUGUAGGGAGUUUUUCCUAGCCACCGUGCUUCUACACCUGCAUUGCUUGCUGUUUGGGAUUUUAGGCUGUCAAGUUGUGACAUCAGCUGAUGUAAGAAGGGCUUUAUAAAUACAUUUGAUUGAUUGAUACUAUCCAAUCAGAGCCACUUUGACAUGACUGCUAGCCAGGAGCCGUACCAGUACCUGAACGACCAGGGUCUGUACACCUCCCUGCACCUGCGUCAGCUAGCCAAGGAACUGAGGGAGCUGGAGGCUUCAUACACCAAGACAAGCCAAGUGAUCAAACUCAAACAUGGACCAAAGAGAUCGAUGUGGUGUGUAAGGAGAUAGAUACUGUAGGAUGCAUUUGUCAAACACCUUUAACAUGAAGAUGCUGAAAGAAAAGUGCAGCUUUCUGAAGAAUGGCAUGGAGUCCUGUAGGACAAUCCCAGAUCAGUUCAUAAAUGAGUGUCAAUGUGUGUUUUUGAGAGACAGCUCAGAUAUCUUAGGCCAGGAGGGCAGUGAGGACUUCUACUAUAUUCAGCCCCUUGUGAACGGCCACAGACUGGGGAACAUCGUUCGCUGUUACAGCCCCUAUGACAACUUCAUGACCUCCAAGAACCAUGAGGAUGUGUCCGUGGCACCGUCCCCCAGCCUUGCUAAUUCCAUCCAGGGCUUCGGCACCGUGGUAUGGUGAGGCAGUGUUCUAUAACUGCUGCGACUCCGCUGAGCUGGCCCACUAUGACCUACAGACCAAGGUCACAAGUCGUGUGAAGAUACCUGACGUCGGCUACAACAACCAGUUCCUCUACUGCUACUACAUGAGACUGGGUUAUCUACAGCACUACUGUGGCCAUGGUGCUGAGCCAGCUAGAUAGUUUCUAAUAUUCUGUACACUCAGUGUAGAAACAGUGUGUGUGCUGUUUUUCUGCUUAUCUUUAUAAUGUUGACUUCUUCCUAAAGAAAUUAAAUCACAACGGUGUUAAAUAAGGGUUGGCUAGAAUUAGAUUUGAAAUGUCUUGAAGUGCUAUAAACAUGAUAAACACACUGAA